rnacentral:rRNA from 1 species
CCCUCUUCCCCCGACCCUCCCCCAAUCCCCGCCUCCUCUCCUCCUUCCCGGUCCGUCGCCUCUCUGGCCGUCGUCCCGUCCCCAACUGGGCUGCCCAUGUAUGGCCACUGCUCAGCGCAGCACCACCCCGUCCUCCCUCGUCAGCCGCCGCCGAUCUUCUCGCUGGGGUGGAGGAGUAGGGGAUCCCGCCAGAUCCGACCUGCAGGCAAAGGGCGACGGCGGGGGCGCUUGAUUCGAUCCUGCGCCACAGGUCCGUGCAGGAGAGAGAGGAGGGAGAAAGAGAGAGCAAAGAGGAGUGGCUGAUGACGAGUGGAGGGAGAAAGAGAGAGGAAAUAGGAGAGGGAGGCUCGGCAGCGGACGGGACAGGGUCGCCGGCCGGUGUCGGCCUGCGCCGGCGAGUUCGCUCGCCCAGCUGCCAAAUAGGGAAAGGCGACGGGACCGGCAUCCGGGGCGGCGGCGGCGGCGGGACUGCAGGAACUGGCCGAGGUGAUCCUCGCCAAACAAGCGGGCGGCAGCAAGGUGCUCCCCACGGUGAGGAACGGACGCGCUCAACGCCUUCCUUCCCAACCAGAUAUGAGAAAGAAGAAAUAGGACCAAGAAAAUUAGUUGCUCAUAUAUUCAUGUGUCGUGCAGAGAAGAAACCGAAUGGAGAACUUGGUAUGCCGAGUAAUGUGCAGGUUGCUUUUGUCCUCUCAUCUACUGUUUGGUCUUUGUCUAUUGCUCUGCUGGCUCGUCAUCACCUUGGUUGGAGGUUGUUCUUGGUCCUGCCAUUUGUUCUUGUUAGAGCUAACUGAAAAUAUUUGUUCUCACCUAUGCUAAUGCCUUUCGGUUAAACUAGAAAUUGUUUCAUUGUUGGAAGCUUUCAUCUGCAUAUAUGCGUAAGGGGCUGUGUAUUUAUUUUGUUUCAUUCAUUUUUUGGUCUAUUUAUUUUGCACAGAAAACCAUUUGUGGUAUGCUUUGAUGGGCCUUAUUUAAUACAGUACAGACAAAAUUGGAAGUAGUAGCAAACCAGCCAUAAAUUUUUUGAGAGAACUAUGCUAACCACAAGCAAUGAUGUACUCCUGUCAUUUUGCCAUGAUAUUGUAGCCCACUUCCAAGACUCUAUGUACUAAUGUUAGCUACUUGCUUCUUUAGCUGCUCUAAUUAGGAACCAAUUCUCUGUGUGGUUUAUCCUCUUAAAAUUGUUACUAUUCACUUAGUGGGGGAGUGUAAGCAGUAGCUGAUUUUAGAGAACACUACACACCAGAGCAGGAAGACGAAGUCAGGAAGGAGAAUGCAUGUACCCUUGAGGACUGAAGAAUGAUGUUUAAUCUUGCUUUUGUCUACGCUGCUAUUCUUGGUUCAGAUCCUUACCUUCGGUUCAGUUCCAUGUAGUCUUAUGGAUAGAUGGACAAGUUGGUGAAAACUGAAAACUACCGGAUGGGUUAAUUAAUCGUUGUUGCCCCUAAUUUUGUUAAAGCUUCAUCAACACCUUACAUUUGCUUGGUAGAAAUUUAAACUGAACACCAACUUCAUUUAUGCUAUACUCGGGUGAUGGAUUCCUUCAGAUAUACAAAUUCCUCGAGCAAAGUUUACAAUGCUUUUGUGCCACUUAUGAUAUGCUUCACAAUUUUUUUGUCUUUCCUUGUGGAUCGUCCAUUUGAACUAAUAUAUAUCAAUGUAAAUAACCUUACAUUUCCUUCUCUUUCAAUCGAUUUAAGGUUCUCAUAUAUAAUGAUUACUAAUGACCAGCUGCAGCCACCGCCUAAUCUAACAUUGUUGUACUCAUGGCUUUUGGCAGCUGUGUAUUCCAUUUAGUUACCUUUGCCUAAUGCGUCCUGAUGCGAGGCAUUCUUGUUGCCCUGUACACAGCUUUGCGUUGUAUGAUUGUUACUAUUUCUCCCUGCGUUCUCUCCUUUGCAUUGUCUGACUAUUACAUGAUUAAUAGAUGAACACUCCUAUAUCGCAAUGAAAGGCAAGGACAAGCUCCUGUGACUAAAUACCUAGCAAAUCACCGUGCCUAGGAACUCUCGUCGCAAGCUCUUCACUUCGCCUUCCAAAACCAAGGGAACUACAUCAUCUGCGGCUGUGCCUAAAGAUCCUACCCAAACUGCAGAAACUGCUUUUGCUGGAGAUGUUGUUGACCCUGCAUCCAAAACAAAUGAAACUAAGCAAGAUGCUGCUGCUGCAGCUACUGAAGAUGUGAAGAAUGUGCAAUCUGAUCAGACUAAUUGAACAUAUAAACCCUGCUGGGCUACCUGCCCAGCGAGGGCACUUCCGUGCGCUGCUGCUUCAGGCCGUUUGAUAUUUUUAUCGUACUGUGUUUUUUGAUGCUGGCACUCAGUCAACCGGUCAUUCGUUUUGUACGUUUAGGCUGCCAUCUCAAAGAAAAGAAAUAACAGUUUGAGUAAGUCAUUACAAGAAAUAUGUACCAGGCAACCUCCACACAACAACCACCUCGACCCAAAGCUUAAUCUAUCUCAGGAAAAGAAAUUACAUCCUAGGGAAAAGAACAAAAUCACUAAGUACGACAGAUGAAUCCAUGUAAAAAUCCUGAAAUAGAAAAAGAGAGUUGCUGAUAGUCAGCUACCUUGGCGUUGUGCGGCCACACCCAGGUACUGUGUUUUUUGACGCUGGCACUCAGUCAACCGGUCGUUCGUUUUGUACGUUGCUGGAUGAUUUUCUAAUCACUUCAUUUUUUUUCCAGCUGAGAUCUGCUUGCAGUUUACUAAAUUGUUACCAGACUUCAAAUGUACUACCUAGCAGACUAGCAAGUGUAUAUGAUGACUCCUUUUAUCGUUGAUGAAGGAAUUGGGAUUUCUUUAAGGGAAAUGAUAACAAUGGUGUAUGAAAUGGUAAGGCAAAUGGUGUUUUUUUUCCAUUGUCAUGUUUAAUGGUAUAUUGGCAUGAAGUCAGAGCAGCACCUGAAGACUACACAAGAUAGUUUCUGGUGACCUUCAGUCUAUAUGUCUUAACCAACAGUAGCCACCUUUUGUUUCGUAUCAAUCGAUCCAGCAAGAUAUGUAUAGCCUUUAGAUUUCCAUUCGUGCAUGUGAUACUGCAUGUACACUUAGAUCUCAUUACUGUCUUUGUGGUCAAAACAAAGUUUGUGAUCACUUGUUCUACAUAUGUAAUCAACCGCCCUUCUACUAAUAUUUUCAGAAGACUAUUUAUAUAUGUUUACACUGGUUAGAGAAAAUCAUGACAUUGCCGGCAACAAUUUUUUAUUUCCAUAUGUUCCAAUUUGUCUCUAAAUAUUUUUAUGUGUACUCUUUCAAUACCUGGCUUGCUCUCGCCCUUUGCGCCAUUGGCGCAACGGGUCAUCUAGUGAGAAGAAACGUCCAGCUGACAAGGAUGCAAACCAAGAAGGAGGUCUUAAGAGGCCACACUCACCACUUGGAG